rnacentral:rRNA from 1 species
GAGUUUGAUUAUGGCUCAGGAUGAACGCUGGCGGCAUGCCUAACACAUGCAAGUUGAACGAGAAGUUCUGGAGGGAGUCUUCGGACGAACGAAGGGAUGGAAAGUAGCGAACGGGUGAGUAACGCGUGGGCAACCAACCUUACACAGGGGGAUAACACAGAGAAAUCUGUGCUAAUACCGCAUAAGCGCACAGUAUCACAUGAUACGGUGUGAAAAACUCUGGUGGUGUAAGACGGGCCCGCGUCUGAUUAGCUAGUUGGUGGGGUAAAAGCCAACCAAGGCGACGAUCAGUAGCCGACCUGAGAGGGUGAUCGGCCACAUUGGGACUGAGACACGGCCCAAACUCCUACGGGAGGCAGCAGUGGGGGAUAUUGCACAAUGGAGGAAACUCUGAUGCAGCAAUGCCGCGUGAAGGAAGACGGUUUUCGGAUUGUAAACUUCUAUCAGCAGGGAAGAAAAUGACG